GUCGAGCGGGCAUCUUCGGGUGUCAGCGGCAGACGGGUGAGUAACACGUGGGAACGUACCCUUCGGUUCGGAACAACUCUGGGAAACUGGAGCUAAUACCGGAUACGCCCUUAUGGGGAAAGGUUUACUGCCGAAGGAUCGGCCCGCGUCUGAUUAGCUAGUUGGUGGGGUAACGGCCUACCAAGGCGACGAUCAGUAGCUGGUCUGAGAGGAUGAUCAGCCACACUGGGACUGAGACACGGCCCAGACUCCUACGGGAGGCAGCAGUGGGGAAUAUUGGACAAUGGGCGCAAGCCUGAUCCAGCCAUGCCGCGUGAGUGAUGAAGGCCUUAGGGUUGUAAAGCUCUUUUGUCCGGGACGAUAAUGACGGUACCGGAAGAAUAAGCCCCGGCUAACUUCGUGCCAGCAGCCGCGGUAAUACGAAGGGGGCUAGCGUUGCUCGGAAUCACUGGGCGUAAAGGGCGCGUAGGCGGCCAUUCAAGUCGGGGGUGAAAGCCUGUGGCUCAACCACAGAAUUGCCUUCGAUACUGUUUGGCUUGAGUAUGGUAGAGGUUGGUGGAACUGCGAGUGUAGAGGUGAAAUUCGUAGAUAUUCGCAAGAACACCGGUGGCGAAGGCGGCCAACUGGACCAUUACUGACGCU
rnacentral:rRNA from 1 species